rnacentral:rRNA from 1 species
GACGAACGCUGGCGGCGUGCUUAACACAUGCAAGUCGAACGGAAAGGCCCUGCUUUUGUGGGGUGCUCGAGUGGCGAACGGGUGAGUAACACGUGAGUAACCUGCCCUUGACUUUGGUAUAACUUCAGGAAACUGGGGCUUAUACUGGAUAGGAGCUCCUGCUGCAUGGUGGGGUUUGGAAAGUUUCGGGGGUUGGGGAUGGACUCGCGGCUUAUCAGCUUGUUGGUGGGGUAGUGGCUUACCAAGGCUUUGACGGGUAGCCGGCCUGAGGGGGUGACCGGCAACAUUGGGACUGAGAUACGGCCCAGACUCCGACGGGAGGCAGAAGUGGGGAAUAUGGAAAAAUGGGCGGAAGCCGGAUGCAGAAAGGCGGCGUGCGGGAUGACGGCCUUCGGGUGGUAAACCGCUUUCGCCUGGGACGAAGCGUGAGUGACGGUAAUGGGUAAAGAAGCACCGGCUAACUACGUG